UACGUAGGUGGCAAGCGUUGUCCGGAUUUAUUGGGUUUAAAGGGUGCGUAGGCGGUCUAUUAAGUCAGUGGUGAAAUACUCCAGCUUAACUGGAGGGGUGCCAUUGAUACUGAUGGACUUGAGUGAAGUCGAGGUAGGCGGAAUUGACGGUGUAGCGGUGAAAUGCUUAGAUAUCGUCAAGAACACCAAUAGUGAAGACAGCUUACUAGGCUUAUACUGACGCUGAGGCACGAAAGCGUGGGGAGCAAACAGG
rnacentral:rRNA from 1 species